AUUGAACGCUGGCGGCAGGCCUAACACAUGCAAGUCGAGCGGUAACACAGAGAGCUUGCUCUCGGGUGACGAGCGGCGGACGGGUGAGUAAUGUCUGGGAAACUGCCUGAUGGAGGGGGAUAACUACUGGAAACGGUAGCUAAUACCGCAUAAUGUCGACAAGAACCAAAGGGACGGGGGUACCGUUACGGGCCUUCUUCGCCAUCGGAUGUCGCCCAGAGUGGGUAUUAG
rnacentral:rRNA from 1 species